AGCAAUACGGGAGUGGCGCACGGGUGAGUAACACGUGGGAAUAUGCCCAGCAGUGGGGGAUAACCGAGGGAAACUUCGGCUAAUACCGCAUACGCCCCUAGGGGGAAAGAUUUAUCGCUGUUGGAUUAGCCCGCGUCCGAUUAGCUAGUUGGUGUGGUAACGGCGCACCAAGGCGACGAUCGGUAGCUGGUCUGAGAGGAUGAUCAGCCACACUGGGACUGAGACACGGCCCAGACUCCUACGGGAGGCAGCAGUGGGGAAUAUUGGACAAUGGGGGCAACCCUGAUCCAGCCAUGCCGCGUGAGUGAAGAAGGCCUUAGGGUUGUAAAGCUCUUUCGGCGGGGACGAUGAUGACGGUACCCGCAGAAGAAGCCCCGGCUAACUCCGUGCCAGCAGCCGCGGUAAUACGGAGGGGGCUAGCGUUGUUCGGAAUUACUAGGCGUAAAGCGCGCGCAGGCGGCUAUUCUAG
rnacentral:rRNA from 1 species